CCUUCUUUGUUUUUAUUACACCAUGAGGGUAUUUCAGCUAAUUUCAAGAAAUCUGAUUGAAGAUUGUUCCGAGCCCAGCCCUCUCACAUUUGAAAUAUUGAAUAUUGGAAUAUUGAUGUAUAUACAGUAGGGUAAAUUUUUGUGACCACUCUUCAAUGACUAGUGCAUAGUCAAACCCACAGUUAAAAAUGACAUCUUUUCACUGACAAGAAAUACCAGACGUUGCUUGUUUAUGGCACAUAAAGUCAGUAGAUUAAAGAAAAUAACAUACACUACACAACUGUCUCCAAAUGUUGGGUAAAGACUUCAGUAUACAAAAGCAAAGGCAUGGUGCUUCCAUUACUAAGUAAUAAUACAUUAAAUGUCAUACAUACUUAAGUAGUUGGUGUAUUUUUGUAGACAAUUAUGAUUUCAUGGUCACAUAUCUCUCAAUAAUAUGCUUACUGAUCAGAAUUAUCGCCAAGUCAGUGGACAUCUAUGAUGGUAAGUUUUUACUACUAAAUGUUCUUAAAACACAGAGACCCCAAAAAGACCGAUAGUAAAAUUAUCUCUUAAGAAGCAUAUUGUGAACCAGACAUCCACGUUGAGAUGCAAAGUCACUAAAUCUCCUCAAACUACCUUUUCAACUCCUCGGUGCUGCAGUUCGUAACUUCAAAAUGUUCCUCCUGAAUGAAAGUGGAUGUGGGUUUUGCUCUGACAACACUCCAGUGCGUACUUCUCUGCUACUGAGUUCAAUAAUUUUGGAAAAUUUAGAAAUAUUUCUUUCUUCCUUUAGAAACACUCAAAUCUCAAAAAUUAGAAGUUUUAUUUUGGAGUCCUCAUAAAUCCGCUGAUUCUUUUAAAGAAAAAAAUAGCAACAAAAGAAAAUAAUAAUCAGAAAAUAAGGCCCCUUUACUUUUAGGAUAUGCUUAUUUUGAAAUGCAUAUAUCUCAGAGGUUCAUAAUUACAUGUUACUUGAAUUUCAUAACAUGCUAAAUUCUUGAGAUAGUCUCUCUCCAGUGCCAUCUAUGGAAGGCCACUCUUCACUCAUAUGUUCAUUAAGCACCUGCCUGCAUAUGUGUAUGUAGCUGAAGGUCAUUUUGUAUAGAAAGGAGUCACUACCAAUAGAGCAACAUUCCAGUCCAGAAGAAGUUAGACUGUGAAGAAAAUAAAAUUGUAAAAGGACAAAAAUGCUCAUGGGACAGAGGUGGAGAGGAUUAAAACAGAGCAGACAGGCAAGACCACUUAACUUCUACUGUCACGUGAGUUAAGGAGAGACAAAGAGACAAUGGUGCUUAGCUAGUACCUGUAUCUAAAAGAAGUUAAAAAACAAAACAAAACAAAAACAAAAAAACAAAAAGACAAAAAAAAAAAAAACAAAAAACAUAACGGAACCCAACCAGUCUCUGAUUUCACUCUUACAUACAUGCCAGCAGUACAUAGAGCAAUUAAUGAACCUGGGCACAUGAAUUUUAAAAAAGUGUUGCACGUCUCUGGAGGAAAAUGUAUGCCAUGACUUUAUUUCCUGAGGUACAUCAUCUGAAGAUAUUUCUUGUAUAGAAAAUGCUUGGCAGCAGCAGGAUGCUAAUAAAGCAGAAAUGCUCUGGUAAAGAAUCCAUGUGAUUUGGGGUGAGGGGUGGCAGGUCACUAAAGACAUGGCAGAGUAGUGACUGGAAUUCAUACUUCCUGAGCCUCAGCCAAGUCUGCCUUCCAGUAAGCCAUGCUGAUUCAUAAAUCUGCCUGAUGGAGACUUCAUUUUGAUGUACUGCUUCCAGAAACGGAAGCCCAUUUUAAUACAUUAAAGUUCAUUGUGAUCCUGAAAAGAAACUACUUAAGAAGGUUUAAAAAAAAAAAAGUCUACAUUUAGAUACUUCAGACUGCAGAAUUUUAAAAUAGACAAAACUUCCCAAGUAUAAAACCCAUAGACUGAGACUAUCUCGCCCACGUGAGUUAACUUUUUUCCAAUACUUGUGAUGCCCACAUCCUUAUGAAGAAGCUGGGCUGCAUCUUUCUAAAGCUCUCGAGCCCCUACAUAACACACUCUUGGGAAGUUAAACGUAUUGUGAAGGCCUGAAUUCUAAUGAAAGUCCAUUGGAGAAAGGCAAGUUAACAGGGCAAUUAGUUAAACUAAGUUUAUGAAAUUAAAAAUAAAUAACUGUUGCACUGGCUCUGGGGAAACCAUGAAGUAUGUAAUAGCUUUGUUUUCUUUAGGUUCAUGGGGAAGGUACACUUAGCCAAGGCUCAGGAAGUUUUCUGACAUUUAUGUAAAUUAAUUAUUGAACCUGGUAAAGAUGGAGAUUUGAAUAAAUGGUAUCUGAAGAUGUUAAGUUCAUAGAAAGGAGGAAAACUCAACGAAGACUGUAGUUCCCCACAGUUUUAUAAACAUUCAGCAAGUGUGGGACAAGUGAGGUGCAUAUGAAAAUGAGUGAGGAGGGUCAUCAAAGCAAACCACAGUGAACAAGGUCCUGGAUAUCAACAGGAUGCUCACUGUCCCAAUGAGUCUAGUCCUAUAUUUCUAUUUUUUCCAUCCCAGUUUUAUCUCUUGUUUUCCCCAGAUCUUUCUAUUAUCCUCCUCUUUCAUACCUAAUAGUUAACAAAAUUAUACUCUGACUUUUUCUGUCUUAACUAUCCUUGAAGAAUUUGCCAUCGAAGAAAUACAAGCCCAAAUGUGUGUCUUGUAUCAGAAUACACCUUAGCUCAAUGACUGGCAGAGAAAGUACUGGUUUUCAGACAGAACCAUAUUAAAUAGGCAAACCUCCUAUUCUGGACUUUCACCCCAGUACUUAGUAGUAAAUUUUAUUUCAUAUAUGAAAAUAUUAAGGAGUUGGGGGCACUGUGCUCAAAAAGUUUAUAGUGGCUGUAAUUUGUCCUAACCAAGCCUGAAGAUUGGGUCAAUGAGAUACUAGUUCCUAGCUAUCAACAAUUGGCUUUCAAUUACUCUCAUAAGGGCAAUAUAGGCAAUCACUCUGCUUACCAAAGUCAAGGGACCAGAUACCACAAAUAUUACUACCUAAUACUUACUCAGUGAGUAGUAUCAGCCUUCCUGGAGUGAUGCCUUGCAAUAAAGAUGUGAGGCAAGAAGUCUUAAGAACACUGCCAGAAUACAAUUGUUUUUGUAAGAACAUUCCCAAUUGUAAAAACUGGCAGGUUUUGUGUUCUAAAAUUUAUGGUUUUAAAGUGUCAGAAAUUAAAGAACCUCCUCCUACCAUCCAUUAGGUUCAAGUGUAAUGAAUUUAUUUUAUUGAAUUACUGUUGCCACUGGAACAACUGCUGAGAAAACUGUAGAAAUAUCUCUCUCCACCCUGAUUAAUUCCCAUUGUAAUUCUGAAGGUGAUGAAUCCUAAGAAAUUGAUACCCAGUAAUGAGCUGGCACCCAGACUCUUCAUUAGCAUUUACGGCAGAUUUCCAACCCUUUAGACACUUUGGUUUCAGAGACCUUCUGAAAAAAAGAGAUCUACUCUAUUCUAGUAUUUAUUUUUGGAAUAUUUUGUAAAAUUGACUCGACUCUCACACCUUGUUUUGUUUGCUUACUUUCCUUGGUUUAAAUAACAUAGUUUAGAAAAAGAACUCUCAUCACUUAAGGUCUGAUAUAGGAACCUUCAAAGAGGGCUUUCAUCUGACUCCCUCUGGUAUUUAAGAACUCAGGCCCUCACUCACUGAAAGAGUAAAAAAUGUUUGUCUGGUGAAGAGAUGGCUGGCAACAACCUGGUGGUAAACAGCGCCGAUGUAAGAGGCCAUGACAGGUGAGUUAUCAUGAGCAGCUGCAUUCUGUUUCUAUCAAAAUGGGAAGCAUUGGAACAGUCUACAAUUUUGAAACAAGUAAACUUGGCUUAACACAGAACCUUUACUACUCCAUUGUGAACAAUAUUGCUCAGAAUAUUUAGAAUAGAGCAGUCUUGUCUCCCAUUUCCAUGAGUAGAGUUGCUGUGGCAUUCUUAAUUUUAUUCCCAAAAGGGUUUUCUGGCAUCCUGACCACCUUUCACAGGCUCCCCUGUUAUGUUUAUUAUAAAUUAAGUAUUUAAAGUAUGUCCAUGAGGUCACAGUCAAUGGGGUUUGCUUUUAAAAGGUGCUCCCAACAACUACUGUGUCAAGAAAAUCAAACAAGCACAGAACAUAACAGCAAAUAUUUUUUCCUUUAAGACAAGAGCCAUGUCUGUGAGCCUUGAACCUAAGUAUUCAGCCCAUAAAUGUAGGAGCAAGGUGAAGGAAUAAACAUUCAGGAAAUAUAGUUUGUUUUUCAUAAGGUGAGAAUCCAUUGUGUGUUUUAUAAUGUCAUUGUGUGAACUGAUAUGCUGUGGAUUUGUAAGUCACAUCUUGAUGGCCUGUACCUCUUAUUGUGCUAAUCCUCUGCACCCACAGCAAAUCCUCUACUUCUAGCACAAAUCGGCCUGGAAUCAAGUAAGUCUGCUACUUCCCAUGGAAGUCAGAGAUGUUUUGAGUGGUCAGUGUUCCUUUUUAAUGUCAUAAUUAUUUCAUCAUCGGAACUGUCACAAACAUUGAGAGAACUUCAGGCUCUUUAUUCUGAUAUUUUAAAAAGGUUUAUUUUUGUCUCAUAAAUACCAAAUCACCACUUGCCUUUCUUCUUCUUCUUCUUCUUCUUCUUCUUCUUCUUCUUCUUCUUCUUCUUCUUCUUCUUCUUCUUCUUCUUCUUUUUCAAUUCAGGGAAUUAAAUUUACUCAGGACCUUGCAUGUCCUAACUCCACACUAUCCCAUUGAGCUAAACUCCCAGCUGUAUCACAUAAAUACUAAAAGAGCAUUGUCAUUAGAAAUGAAAUAUAUGAAGGCAUAUAUACAUGUGUCUUUAGAAUUAAACAUGAAUUAUUUAGGAAUGGAGAGAUGUUCGUUCAGUAGAACAUAUAGCAUACACCAACUUGAUGUCAAGUACCAACUUGAAAAGGCGGACAUGAUGGCACUGUUUGUAAUCCCUCCCCUGAAAAGUCAGAGACAGACAGAACCCUGGAACUACUGGUCAGCAGACCUAGCCUAACAGUGAGCUCUGGCUCUCAGUGAGAGACCUAAUAUCAAAAAACAAGGUAGGGGCUUCCUGAAAAGUGGCACCCGAAGUUGGUCCCUGGUCUCUGUACACUCAUGCACAUGGACACACACACCUGGAUAAGCCCACACAACAUACAUGCAUAUACACACACAUUCAAAUGAAAUAACACUAUAGAACAUGUUAUUAGAAAUAUAUAUCUUUUUUUUCUAGGAUAUUUUCUUUAUUUGCAUUUCAAAUGGGAUCCCAUUUCCGGGUUCCCCCACCCCCGGAAAUUCCCAACCCAUCUCCCCUACCCUUGCUAGAUGACACCAACUAGUUUUAUAAUCUUUAAAAUGCGAGAUAAUAUGCCGUCUAGCCACUUCUUAAAGAUGUGAUUAUAUUAAAGGAGGUCAAAUUAGAAUGAAAUGGACACCAAUAAUAAAGUAAUGAUAAACACUUUGAUUUGUGCUCUGCGGUACCUUGCUGGUCUUCCCGGACAUGUUGUAUUCUUCUUCAUGUUGUAUUUAGACAAAUAGUGUUUUAACUGAUGGCAGCAGAGCCGAGGGAUCCAGGUAACAUGAAACAAACUGGGGCUUUCAAAUAAUUCAAAACUGGCUAAUAGGAGCAUAUUUUUAUAACAGCCAAUACAUAUUUUAUUUCUAAAUGUGGUUUUCAAAAAAAUUGGAUUACACUGUAAUAAGAAGCAGUAAUUACAAGCUCCUGUGUGACAUUUGUAUAAAGUCGAACCAAAGUUAGGUACUCAGGAAAGUCUCUAGCAUUAAAAUCAGAUUUAGUGGUCCAUCAUAGAGGGAUAAUUUCCUGUCGUCCUAAUGAAGUAUAAGCUUUCAUUCUCUGUAUUCAUUAGCUUAUGUAGACGCCUGCCAAAGGCCACUUAGAGGCUUAACUUGAAUAACGCAGGAAGCAAAAAGGUCUCCUGAUACAUUUAAGUCUCCCAAGAGACAGGUUGCUCCUGGGUAACACAGUUCACACAGUCUCUUUUUAUCACUUUAUUCUCUCUUUAUCACUCUGCCUUUUCUUUGAUGCCCAGUACAUAGCACAGGAGCCAAAUUUUGUUACAGGGAAAAUUAUUUACUGAGAAAGAAUACAUUAAAACUACAUUUUCAAUCCCUACAGUAGUUACUGAAUUUGAGACUCAAAUGUAUAUUCUCUAUAAGAAAUAUGUUUCUCCCUUUGUUCUCUUUCAAUUUUUGUUAUACCAACUUCAUUUUUUCACAAAUAUGCAUACAUUCCCACUAUCACUUAGAGAAUAGAUUACUAAUUACUUUGUACUUGAACCCCAUUGUUUUUCUACAUUUUUUCUCUUUCAGAUUUUGAAUUCAGUUAGCAAAUCCCUUCACUAUAAAUAAAAAUCCUUUCACUAUUCCUUUUCAGUUCUUUUCCUGAUGUUUGAGCAGUAUCUGUCAAACCACCAUAGCACCUGACUGACUGGGCUGAAUGUCUCUUUGGGAAUUUUAGAAUAGUAGUAUCCAUAUGUAGUUCCAUCCAUAGAGACCUCGUCUCUGUCUCAUCACUGCACAUGGCCUGGUGUGUCAAUGGGAAGGAGAACUUGAUAGCUAGAGUUUUGAUUUGUAACUCACCCUGUCCUUGGUCCUGACAGAAUUGACCUGUGACACAAAGUCUCAUUUAAAAGACAAAUUUUAAAUCAUUUUAUCAACAAAGGGGCUAUCCAGUAUACUUCAUAAGUGCAUUUAGUGAAAGAACAAAAAGAAUCUGAGUAAUACAUCACCCAGUGAUCCCAUCACAUUGUAAUCAAACUACUAUCAAGUAUAUCUUUCCUAUGACUUAUAACACAGAUUAAUGCUCUCUGGACCUAAGUGUCUAUCCUAAGGGGAGAUAAGAUGUAUACUUUUUUGGGCUAUAUAUAUUAAGGUGGCAAUAAACUCACAGUUGAGGGUCUGCUUUAAAAAAUUACAGCUAAAAAUGAAGCUAGGUUAAAUCAGGAGAAAGUAAUGACUCAUAAAUCCUAGUGUUGGAAUAACUACGAAUAGUAUGUCAGACCUUAUGAAGUAAAUUACAAAGAGCAUUUAUGUUCUUCCAUGGUCUGUGGUCCUUAAAUACCAUCUCAGGGGGGAAAAACACCCUGUUUUAUAUCUUCGCAGCCCAUUUCCAAGAAAGCCAAUGCUUAAAUUAUAAAUUAAGUGAAAGAGAAAGAGAUGGAGAGAGGAAUAAAUGUGGCAGGAAGAGAGAGAAGCAAAGAUGGAGGAAGAAACAGGAAGAGAAUGAGAAAGCAGAAAUGGAGAAAAUGGAGAGAGGAGGAGGGGAAGCAAGAGAAAGAAAACAGAAAGGGGGAAAUGAGGGAAAGAGGAAAGGAAAAGAAUAUAUGAAAAUCCAAUAAGGUUCACACACACACACACACACACACACACACACACACACACACACAUAAAAGAAUGUUAUACAUCCUGAGUAAUUGGUAUAAUGAAAGUGGAGAUUAUAUUUGUUGAGGCCAAAAAUAUGGUAAUGAAAGGAAAACCUUCUACAACUGUGUUAUGAAAUAGUAAUUUAAAAACUAAGUACAUAUGCAUUUAAAUUAAUAUACUAUCUUUUAAAAAAUGAAUGUGUUAAUUUGUAUAUUGCCUGUUAGAGGAACUUCCUUUGUGGGCAUAAACAGAGGCAGGAUACAGUGUCCAUACUGAAAUCCUACCAUGCACAACAUCGCUGUAGGGACAGGCUCUUCCUGUAUGACAAUUGUUGAAAGCAAGUUGCCAAGGAGUAACCUGAUAUGAAAAUAAAAUUGAGCAGUGGGAUUUUUUUUUCUUUUAACUUUGGUUAGAUGUUUUACUUGAUUAUACAACCUUUUUAGGAAAAUAAAUGGUUUUGUUUACAAAAUGUUUGGUUUUCGACAAGCAGCACAAUAAACAGUGAGUAAAACAUUUGAUGUCAACAAGCAAAUGUGAAACCCAAGCACGUGUUCUGUCCCAGUAACUGUACAUAUUGAUGGAACUGCAAUAAACACAGGCCAUCUGUCACAUGCUGUUUAAUCUGUUCAGAGCUGAAGCUGUUUUGAAAUCUACUUUCCUCUCAGAUCUAUCAUGGGGAAUCAUGAUACCUAUGUCCAUGUUUCAGCCCAGCCCAAGACCAACCAUGUCAACAGUCAUUCAGUUAUUUAAAUUCUUGGAGUUUUAAAGCCUGGGCUCUAUAAAUAGAAGUUUUGAAUGAUCUCUGUCUUAGUCUGAUCUCUAUUUCAGUGGAACACCAUAACCAAAAGCAACAUAGGGAGGAAAGAGUAUAUUUCAUCUUACACUCUAUAGACCAGGGAACUGAGGCUAAAAACUCAAGGAAGGAACCUGACAGUAAGAGCUGAGAUGCUGAAGUCCUAGAGGAAUCCUGGUUGAUUCCCAUGGCUUGCUAGGUUUGCUUUCUCAUAUACUUUAGGAGCAUCAGCCUAGGGUUGAUACCACCCAGAGUGGACUGGGCUCUCCUACAUCCAUCAUCAACCAAAAACAUGCUUGACAGAUUUUUCUGCAGGCUAAUUAGAGAGGCAUUUUCUUAUUGUAGUACCCUCUCCCAAGGUGAUUCUGACUUGCUUCAAGUUGACAAGAAAUUUACUAGCAUAAACUAAGAGAACUACCAGCACUAGAUAGUAUUCUACAUUCAAAUUACAGAAAUGAAGUUAAAGGCUAAAAGGCCUUUCCAAAGACAAUAAGUCCUUUGUCUUUACUUUGGAUUUUAUAACUGGCUUAUCAGAGGCUCAAACUUACCAUUCUCUUUCUUCCUGGUGUUCUAUUCCCUGAUGAAGUUUCCUGCUACUUAUUUAAAUCAUACAAAAACUUCCCCCUCCUUCCUGAUUCCAGACCUGCUUUCUCAAGAGAUGCUGGCAUUUACAAAGUUCCUAUCAGUGAUGCUUUAACUAUAUCAUACUAUUUCCUAGGUCUUCUCCCCGUAAGACAUUGGGAGAACAUUUAGGCAGCAACAUUUCCCAGAGACAUAAAAAAAACUGUGUGUUCAUACAACAAAGGCUCUCAACAUAAUAAUUCUGUUUCACACAUGCUGAUUUUACAGAGCAGGUUUUGAUGUCAUCACAGUCAUUGUUCAAGUCCUUGUGGCUGCCAUUACUCUCUGCAAAUAUUGCUUCAUUUUCUGAGAGGCUUAGGAAGAUGGCAUUCAGAUGAGGUAAGUCCACACAGGCCUCCUUCAGCUGAUGGCAUGAUCCCCUCAUGAUGUUCAAGUGUCCUGUGCGGAUGAGCAGGAAACCAACUGAUCAUUUGUUUUCUGGUCUGUAGUCACUCCUUUUCAGCUCUGAUUGUUGCCUGCUAUUUCAGUAAUGAUUAAUUAAAUGAUUUAAACCUUCUCUGGGAAAGCCUCCUUUAAGGUACUAUGGGACUCAUAUAGAUAAAUGACCUCAUCAUAUCAAUUCACAUUACCAUACCCUUAAAAAUAAAAAGCAAAUCAUCAUAGGUAUCUGAACAAAACACUGUGCAAUGAUUAUUUUCCCAAUAAAGAAAGACCAAUAAGAAAUAAGAUUGUUCAAUAAUAGAUCACUCACUCACACACACACACACACACACACACACACACACACACACACACCAUCCAUUUAAAAGGAAACAAGCAAGAAAUAAUAAUUAAAAGUGAUGAAAGGGAGAGUUGGAGAGGUGGUUCAGGAAUUAAGACUAUUCCUGCUUUGGAAAAGGCCUGAAUUUAGUUCCUGGUUCAUCUGGAAUCUCACUACCACCUAUAACAGUAGCUCUAGGGGAGCAAACACCCUCUUCCUGCCUCUGCAGACACUUGUACUCACAAGUGCAUACCCACCCACCCCCAUACACAUAGAAUGUUUAAAAUUAAGACUGUAAUUUUUUUCUUGUGAGCAGGGCAUGGAAUCACCUAGACUGAAAUAAGCUGAUUACAAGCAGGGACAGCCAGCCGGGAUAGAGAGUGACACAAGCAGAGACAGCCAGCCAGCUGGGAUAGAGAGUGAGAGCUGUGCUGGGAGGUGCAACUCUCCCUUUCUUAUGAUCCUGCUGAGGAAGAUAGCCAAGGGCAGACAUCAUGCCUGUGGACUUCUGCCUUCAGUUUUGUAUCUAAAGAGUAGCGAAUAAAAUACAAUCUGGUAGCUCACCCUACCUAAAACAGAUAAUCCUGAUUUUAACAAAGACAUGUACUUUUAUUCAAGAACUAUAGAAAAAAGGACUAAUUUUUUAAAAGAGUGAAGGGAAGAAUAUGAUUGUCUCCUACCUGCUCCUUCCACUUUGGAUUAAUUUGACUACUUUAAACCAGUGUUUUAAUGUUGGUUCAUAAUUUUACUAAGGCCAGCAUUAAUUAAGUUUCAACCACAUUACCACCAAGUGUGUAUGUUUAAACUAAUACCCUUUCUCUGUCUUUAUUUGCAGAGAAAUGAGACUGACGAAAACUGGCAGGGAAAUCCAAGAACAUGCAGAAAUUCAUUGAAUUUCUUCACUAUUGGAACUACUAACUUAAGCAUGGUCUUGAGCAAGACCAGUAGGUCCUUCUGAUUAUGUAGGAAGGAGAAGGGUGAUACAUGUAGUCAUCAAUGUAAGGCACCUAAUGAAACCCAG
rnacentral:lncRNA from 1 species